UACGUAGGCAGCGAGCGUUGUUCGGAGUUACUGGGCGUAAAGAGUGCGUAGGCGGUUUUCUAAGUUUGGUGUGAAAUCUCCCGGCUUAACUGGGAGGGUGCGCCGAAGACUGGAAGGCUUGAGUAUGGGAGAGGUAAGCGGAAUUCCUGGUGUAGCGGUGAAAUGCGUAGAUAUCUGGAGGAAUACCGGUGGCGAAGGCGGCAUCCUGGACCGAGAUUGACGCUGAGGAGCGAAAGCUAGGGGAGCAAACGGG
rnacentral:rRNA from 1 species